GCCGGGAUGGCGGAACUGGUAGACGCAGCGGACUCAAAAUCCGCCGGUGGUGACACUGUAAGGGUUCGACUCCCUUUCCCGGCACCA
rnacentral:tRNA from 1 species